ACAGGAAAUUCUACAAAGACAGGCAAGUCUCAAGGAAAUUUUACACCUUGUGUCGAUAAAAUGAACACUGCUGUUUCUGUCUUUAAUGCUUAGCUAAGGACACUUCUGGCAGAGCUUAACCACAAACACCAUGAUGCUAAAGAUAUCGAUAAUACAAGUUUUUAUUAUGUGAGUUGCCUAAAUUAAUAUUUUGCCCCUAAAUUUGAUUUUUAUGAUUGUCUUAACGUUCUUACACUAUAUAUUAUAGGGCUUUGAGUGAGUUGUGUUUUCACGAUGAUUGUCACCCCAAUACUAUUGGAUUCAUGUGCCCGGAGAUGAUCUCGGCCACCAUGUUAAAGACCGAUGCAGAUCGAAUUCUAUCGUACAUGACGAGGUCCAUGAGUGCACUUACUUCUAAGACAUUCAUCUUAUGUCCAUACUACGAAAAGAGUCACUGGAUGCUUUUAGUUCUUUGCUUGUCUAAACGUGAGGUCUAGAUAUUUGAUUCUCAACAGAAGAAGAGAAAUUUGAUGAUUAAGGAGCCACUAAACAAUGUGCUCAACAAUCGGGAUCAUUAGAUUGUGGCUACUACGUCAUGCGUUUUAUGUACGACAUAAUAAUGAAUCAUUGUAAUAGUCAAGAUCUUACUAAGGAUUUUUCAAGAACAUUUCCUUAUUCACCGGAGGAGAUUAAUGAGGUGAAAGAUUUUUGGGCAGAUUACUUCAUGAACAAUGUCGACUUUUAGCUUAAUUUGUAAUAUGAACUCGAUCUCUAGCUAGAUACCUUUGUUGUAAUAAUUUUAUGUUUGUUGUAACAUGUUGGUUGAUCUAUGACGAAUUUAAUUGCCUUUUAUUGGGAACGUUAAUUACGUUGUAAACUAUUGUGACAGGUAUUAUUUAUAAAUGUAUCCCCGGUAUUGG